UAACACAUGCAAGUCGAGGGGUAACAGGGAUUGCUUGCAAUCCGCUGACGACCGGCGCACGGGUGCGUAACGCGUAUGCAACCUACCUUCUACAAGAGGAUAGCCCAGAGAAAUUUGGAUUAAUACUCUAUACGAUCAUUAAUUGGCAUCAGUUGAUGAAGAAAACUCCGGUGGUAGAAGAUGGGCAUGCGUCCUAUUAGUUAGUUGGUAAGGUAAUGGCUUACCAAGACUUCGAUAGGUAGGGGUCCUGAGAGGGAGAUCCCCCACACUGGUACUGAGACACGGACCAGACUCCUACGGGAGGCAGCAGUGAGGAAUAUUGGACAAUGGAGGCAACUCUGAUCCAGCCAUGCCGCGUGCAGGAAGACGGCCCUACGGGUUGUAAACUGCUUUUAUACAGGAAGAAUUGUGCCUACGUGUAGGUAUUUGACGGUACUGUACGAAUAAGGA
rnacentral:rRNA from 1 species